rnacentral:rRNA from 1 species
UACGGGGGGGGCAAGCGUUGUUCGGAAUUACUGGGCGUAAAGGGCUCGUAGGUGGCCAACUAAGUCAGACGUGAAAUCCCUCGGCUUAACCGGGGAACUGCGUCUGAUACUGGAUGGCUUGAGUUUGGGAGAGGGACGCGGAAUUCCAGGUGUAGCGGUGAAAUGCGUAGAUAUCUGGAGGAACACCGGUGGCGAAGGCGGGUCUCUGGGCCGAUACUGACGCUGAGGAGCGAAAGCGUGGGGAGCAAACAGG